AGAGGGCAGGUGGAAUGGAAGAGACCACACAAGCCAUCUGGGCCAUAGGUGUCCAAAAGAAGGUGAAGGUUAGGAAUGUCUAGGCACACCUGAGAGCUUGGGAAAAGCAGACAAUGAAGGUGUUUCAGAGAUAGCAUCAAAAAUCAAGCUGUCCAUUUGUUGGUACUCACAUACCAUGCUGGGGAUUGAACCCAAGGAGUGACACAUGCUAUGCAAGUAUUCUACAGUCUGAGCCACAUAUCCAGCCACUUAGUAGGUUCUCACAUUAAGAGACUCAUCUUGCCUCUCCCAUGAUAACGCUAUGUCGUCUUCCCUUUCCUCUCCCAUGAUAACACUAUGCUUAAUUAUGUCUACAUCUUUUCAACUAAUUCUUUAAAUCCUACUGAUAAAGAUUUUAUUUACUUUCUGUCUCCAAUUUACAUUAAAGUUCAAAGUCUGAAUA